GUAACGGUGUCUUUAGACACCACCUUUCGUCUUCGAAAUUUGUAUU
rfam:Picea glauca, whole genome shotgun sequence.